UACGUAGGGGGCUAGCGUUGUCCGGAAUCAUUGGGCGUAAAGAGCGUGUAGGCGGUCCGGUAAGUCCGCUGUGAAAGUCGGGGGCUCAACCCUCGAAUGCCGGUGGAUACUGUCGGGCUAGAGUGCGGAAGAGGCGAGUGGAAUUUCCGGUGUAGCGGUGAAAUGCGUAGAUAUCGGAAGGAACAUCAGUGGCGAAAGCGGCUUCCUGGACCAGUACCGACGUCAGGCACGAAAGCGUGGGGAGCAAACAGG
rnacentral:rRNA from 1 species